rnacentral:rRNA from 1 species
GAGACUCUGUGCGCGUGCAUAUCAAUAAGCGGAGGAAAAGAAACUAACAAGGAUUCCCUUAGUAACGGCGAGUGAAGCGGGAAGAGCUCAAAUUUGAAAUCUUCAAGGUUCUGACCUUGACGAAUUGUAGUUUAUAAGAAGUGUUUUCGGUUAGUGGAGUGGCAAAAGUUCUUUGGAAUAGGACAUCAUAGAGGGUGAGAAUCCCGUAUUUGACCAUUAUUUCCAACUUUGUGAUACACUUUCAAAGAGUCGGAUUGUUUGGGAAUGCAGUCCAAAAUGGGUGGUAAAUUUCAUCUAAAGCUAAAUACUGGCGAGAGACCGAUAGCGAACAAGUACCGUGAGGGAAAGAUGAAAAGAACUUUGAAAAGAGAGUUAAACAGUACGUGAAAUUGUCAAAAGGGAAGCGUUUGACACCAGUGUUGUUUUUCCGAAAAUCAAUUACGAAUGUUUUGUUUUUAAGAAGUUAUGACUUCAUCGGCUUGCUUCUUUCUUUACGAAACUUUCUUAAUGCACUUUUCGGUUAACAAGUCAACAUCAAUUUCUUUUGUUGUAAAAGGGUACGAGGAAGGUGGCUUUCUUUUCGGAGAAAGUGUUUAUAGCCUUGUACCUCUGCAAUCGGAGAGAUUGAGGUCUGCAGCGUAGAUCCUUCGGGGUUAGAUACAUUUAUGCUAAGUUAUAGCUUUUCAUAGACAACUUGUUGACUAUGUUAAGCCUUGUAGCUUACUCGCUUAUGCUAUUUUACCUACGCUUAGGAUGUUGACGAUCAGCUGAGCGCG